rnacentral:rRNA from 1 species
GACGGAGGGGGCAAGCGUUGUCCGGACUCACUGGGCGUAAAGGGCCCGUAGGCGGUUUUGUGCGUCGCUGCUGAAAGCGCCCGGCUUAACCGGGCGAGGCGUGGCGAUACGAUGAAACUGGAGGCAGGCAGAGGGUGGCGGAAUUCCGGGUGUAGUGGUGAAAUGCGUAGAGAUCCGGAGGAACGCCUGUGGGGAACCCGGCCACCUGGGCCUGACCUGACGCUGAGGGGCGAAAGCGUGGGGAGCGAACCGG